UUAUAUUAUUUUAUUUUUCUCACGAAUGAAAAUGACACGUUUAAUCAAUUAUACCAUUGCGGUGCUUGGUCUUUCACUCGCAACAAAUUGCUUCAUCAAUGUCCGCGUUGCAACAUCGUUGGUCCUAAAUAAAGCAGGUACUGGGAGGAAUAACCAUCCUGUUUU
rnacentral:ribozyme from 13 species